rnacentral:rRNA from 1 species
ACUUAUUUUUGAGUAAAUCAAAUGUUAUCAUCCGGCAUUGAAAAUUGAAAUGUUUUUAUAAAGGAGGAAUUAUUAGGAAUCUUUGGUUAGUUAUUUAAAGGUGGACAGGAGAUAAAUUUUGCACAUACUGCCCGUCAAGCAAAAAGCAGAGAUAUAGAUGAAAACAGCAGGGCACACAAGUGUGAAAUAACGUGCUAAUUUGUGUUAAGUCGAAACAUGGUUGCU